AGUCUCCAACGCUGUCUUCUCGGACCGAACUCAGGCCCUGCAAGCCAACCCCAGUUGCCUGGUGGAGGCCAUUUGUAGCCAGCUCUGCCAGCUCCACCCAACAGGCACGCGGUCCAUGGGGGUCCAGAGGACUAGGUGGUCCCUGGUCCUCUCGGACUACAUGGCCAUCAGAGCGGCAGUGCUGGCCAGCCCGAGGUUGAUGCUCAGAUGGACAUCCAGCACUAUGAACUGAAUCAGAGGACCCUGUCUCAGUGGUUCUCUCAGCGCCAGAAAGAAGAGGAGAAGGCUGUGCUGCUGCAGGCAACUGGCAUUGUGCCUGCGGCAGUACUGGCUGGCGAGCCUCUCCCUCCAGCAAAAGGGCUGUCCUGUGUCCAGGUGGGACAAGGACAGCCCUUUAACUUCAAUGUCCCUGAGGAGCAGCCCAGCCCAGAACAG